GUGUGCAUGUGUCUGGAUUGGGCAAUUUAAAAUGGUCUCAAGCCCUAAUUGGGCUAUGGGAUUUAAGGCCUAUCUGAUUGGUCCAAAUAAUAAUAAAACCAACUCAAUCUCACUUAUUCAUCCGUAACAUUUUCGUUACAAACCUAAUUCGGCCCUAACUCGCGUCAACACCCUCGUGACGUCGAAUACAAUUGAUCACAUUGGCAGGAAAAUAAUUUAAAACUAUAUAAUCCACGUCACAAGGCCCACGAGGGCAAAAUAGUCAUUUCCACGCACUCGAGGAUAAAAUAUAUUUUAAUUCGGGACGGGUCGUCACAGGAUGAGAUUUUCUUAUCUCAAUCUCAUCUGGCGGAUUGUUAUCUAUCUUUUUAUCCUCUCACUAGAAAAAUGAUGUCUUUAUCUCUUUCACAUUCAUCCUAUUAAACUGUGAGGUUGUGGGAGUCCAUAGAGAGUCUCACUGUGAGAGAGUCAUGUUAUCAUUUCUAUUUUGUAAAAAACAUGAUGUGACAAUUGAUAGUUGAUUCUUUCUUAGUAUUCGAAAAUAUCACCAUGUGAUUGAUGAUUGAUUUUUUUUUAUUUAUUAAAACACAUAAUGUGAUAGUUAAUUUUUUUCUUAAUAAUAAAGAAUCCAACUACCAUGCGGUUGAUAGUUGAUUUUCUUGUUAAUGAUUCAAUUAAAAAUUCAACUAACCACCCAUGUCAUAUAUAUACUAAAAGUAGGGAGAUGAAGGAACCUCACUCCACCCCUCCUCUCUCUCCCUUCCUGAGAUUUUAGGAACUCAAAAAGGAAAUUUUUGUGUUUCUAAAAGAAUAUCGACUCUAAUGGAAUUUUGGGAAUCCAACCACUAGGGGUGGUUUUGGUACAUUACCGUACCAAAACCUCUAUACCAAUUACCAUGCCAAAUAUUUGGUACGGUAAAAUCUAUUACAAUUACCGUACCAAAUUUUUGGUAUAUCAAAUAUCGGUAUACCAAAUAGUUUGGUUGGUAUGGUAUGCCAAUGGUAAUUGCCACUUUGUUUUACGCCACUUAGUUUGCCCAAAAACUAAUAUUUUUUAAUUAAUGUGCAAGUGUAAAAAAUAUAGAAAAAAUAUAUAAACGCUCAUAAUGACAAGCUUUACAACUUUCGUGAAGAGCUUAACUUUGAAAUUCGCCAUUAUAAUCAUAUAAAUCAUAGAUCAAAAUUUAACCGUUGAUUGUUGUUUACAUUUAUGCUUAAUUUUUCUCAUCAAUUUUUUUUUCGAAUUUUCUUUUUUGAAAUCAUGAUCUAUUAGAGGAUACAGGAAGAUGAAUGGUUUGGAUCGUUGAUAAUAUGUUUAGAGUUUUACAGUUAGUGAAAAUAUUGCUUGAUGUUUAUAAAGUGUCUACAAACUAUAUGAUAUCGACUCAUAUUUCAGUUAACCAUAAAUAUCGAAAUGUGAUAUCAAAAAUCUAAACCAUUCAUCUUCUUACAUCCGCUAGAUGAUCAUGUUUUCAAAAAAAAGAAAAUUUAAAAAAUGAAAUUUAGUAAGAUAAAUAAAACGUAAAUGACAAUCAACGGUUAAAUA
rnacentral:lncRNA from 1 species